GGAUAACCUACCCUUAGGACUGGGAUAACCCUGGGAAACUGGGGCUAAUACCGGAUAGGCAAUUAUUCCUGCAAUGGUUUUUUGUUUAAAUGUUUUUUCGCCUAAGGAUGGGUCUGCGGCCGAUUAGGUAGUUGGUUAGGUAAUGGCUUACCAAGCCGUUGAUCGGUACGGGUUGUGAGAGCAAGAGCCCGGAGAUGGAACCUGAGACAAGGUUCCAGGCCCUACGGGGUGCAGCAGGCGCGAAACCUCCGCAAUGUGAGAAAUCGCGACGGGGGGAUCCCAAGUGCCAUUCUUAACGGGAUGGCUUUUCAUUAGUGUAAAGAGCUUUUGGAAUAAGAGCUGGGCAAGACCGGUGCCAGCCGCCGCGGUAACACCGGCAGCUCUAGUGGUAACAAUUUUUAUUGGGCCUAAAGCGUCCGUAGCCGGUUUAAUAAGUCUCUGGUGAAAUCCUGUAGCUUAACUGUGGGAAUUGCUGGAGAUACUAUUAGACUUGAGACCGGGAGAGGUUAGAGGUACUCCCAGGGUAGAGGUGAAAUUCUGUAAUCCUGGGAGGACCGCCUGUUGCGAAGGCGUCUAACUGGAACGGUUCUGACGGUGAGGGACGAAAGUUAGGGGCGCGAACCGGAUUAGAUACCCGGGUAGUCCUAACUGUAAACGAUGCGGACUUGGUGUUGGGGUGGCUUUGAGCUGCUCCAGUGCCGAAGGGAAGCUGUUAAGUCCGCCGCCUGGGAAGUACGGUCGCAAGACUGAAACUUAA
rnacentral:rRNA from 1 species